rnacentral:rRNA from 1 species
UGGCGGACGGGUGAGUAAUGUCUGGGAAACUGCCCGAUGGAGGGGGAUAACUACUGGAAACGGUAGCUAAUACCGCAUAACGUCGCAAGACCAAAGAGGGGGACCUUCGGGCCUCUUGCCAUCGGAUGUGCCAGAUGGGAUUAGCUAGUAGGUGGGGUAACGGCUCACCUAGGCGACGAUCCCUAGCUGGUCUGAGAGGAUGACCAGCCACACUGGAACUGAGACACGGUCCAG